rnacentral:rRNA from 1 species
GUAAGCGUAUCGCUGAGGGAUGGGCCUGCGGGCCAUUAGCUUGUUGGUGAGGUAACGCUCACCAAGGCUGUGAUGGCUAGCUGGUCUGAGAGGAUGACCAGCCACACUGGGACUGAGACACGGCCCAGACUCCUACGGGAGGCAGCAGUGGGAAUAUUGCGCAAUGGGCGAAAGCCUGACGCAGCGACGCCGCGUGGGUGAUGAAGGCCUUCGGGUCGUAAAGCCCUGUCGCAGGGGAAGAAUAAGCAUCGGUAUAAUACGCCGGUGCCCUGACGGUACCCUGCAAGAAAGCACCGGCUAACUCCGUG